UGACCUAUGAAAUAUACUUCCAUUCUUCUGGGUGGUGGCAAACACUUUAUUUUCUCAUCCUCCCAGGAUGCAAGAGAAAAUAUUUACAUUCCCUUUUUGCUGAAGCAGCAAAGCCAUCAGGUUUCCCAAUCUGGAAAGUCCCGAUGUGCACGUUUGGGCCUAUGCUGGAGACGCCAAAGUGAGAAGCGUGGCCUGCGUCGGAGCAGAGUUUCCAGUGCCAUAGCCGGUGUGGCACGUCUGGGACAUGUCUGAGCCCCGGCCGCCCUGGCUCUGAAAGGCCUAGAAGGAGCUGGAGGCGGCUCAGGAAUGCUGAGAUCCGGAGCUCCUCUGCACACUCACUGACCUGUUGCUACGGUGACGGUGACGUGCAGAAGCAGUGACACCCGCCUGAGCUGCAGCCCUGUCCACAGAAGGCAGAGAAGAGAGAGCUCAGCCCCGAGAGCCAAGAGCCGGAUGGGAAGUCACCUCGUGUCCAUGGACAGGAGUAUGGGGCCCAGAGUCCUUGGAAGCCUGUAUCUGAGAACCAUCUGGAUCAUAUUAUACAUUGAUUUGUUCUUGGCUUUGAAGAUGGUUUUAGUGUUGAUGCAACCUCAUUAAAAGUAUCUGCUAAAACA